rnacentral:lncRNA from 1 species
GAAGCAGAAGGAAUCUAUCGGGCACCAUGAAUGCUUUUGAAUCCAGAAGUACUCUACCAGACACCAGCCGAGCCAACCUCCCAAUAAUGAGAGACACACACCAGGCGAACACCUGGAGAUAAGCACCUGAUCGUGGAGGUGCACCCUGGCGAGCUGAAGGCACGGAAGUAUGCAGCCUGGUGCUCCUAUCUCCUCCCAGGAAGGAAAGGCUCUGGCUCUGGGGCCCUCUACCCCACAGAGCAUGCGUUUUAUACAGAGUGCUGAACAUAUCCCUGAGAACAACAGUGAAAACGGGAAAAAACCCUACCUAUAUUUUCCAGUGUCUAUUAGUGCAAGAGCCCAAGAAUCCAUGAGGUGAAAAGGGGAGGUCAGGCUACAUCCUGGUGUUUGGAACCUGUCUCGGCAAACAAGUCCAUGGAGAAGAGAACCUUAAUUUAUUUGAGUGGCUACAGAGCAACAUCACUCUGAAGAAUGAAGUAUCUGGAUGCUAUGGUGGCAUCUUCAGUCCUCAGAACACACUGACUCAAUGACAUUAGCUUGAAUUUUAUUAAAUUGCUGAUAUCUGACUGCUUUCACCUACAAAAAUGACAAUUUUCUAAGGUUCAGUCUAAUACAAAGCAGAAUUUGGAAAAGCCCAUGAUGGAAGCAAACACAAUCACAAGAAGGAAAGAGAAGCAUAUGGUUAGAUUUAGGAACUUAUACUUCUUGAAACUCUAUUUCUGGCUAUAGACUGAAAAUAGCUCUCUAAAUUCUUAUGUUAAAACCUGAUUCCCUGUGAGGGUAUUAAGAAGUGGGGUCUUUGGGAAAUGAUCUUGAAGGUGGAGCCCAUGUGAAUGGAAGCAGUCCCUUUAUAGAACAGACCUCAGAGAGCUCCUUUCACCUAGUGAGGGCAUAGUAAAAGAUGGCUAUCUAUGAACCAGGGAGUAGGCUUUCUCCAGAUACUCUACCUGCCAGUGCCUCCAUGAUCCUGGAUUUCCCAGCUUCCAGAACUGUGAGAAAUAAAUUUAUCAUUUGCAAGCCACC